CGCAACGCCCGGUCCCCGCCUGCCCCAAUCCCGACUCCAGGCCGUCGUCCCCAACACACCAUGAGGACGAAGAUGGCGGCGACGCUGGUCCGGGCCUCCGGGGGGAUCGGACCUCCUACGCCUGCCCGAUCCUCCUACUUCUCCUCGCACUGCUCCUUGCUGUCCCCGCUCGCGGCCAUCUCCAACGCCUCCUCCCACGCCUACGCCUUCGCGGGCCGUCAGCCGGUGCCCGCCCCGGAUCCCACCUUCUUCGAUGAUGUCAUCGACGCCAUCGUCGACAAGUACGGCUGGGACCCCGACGCAGAGGUCCGGGUUUGGCCGCUCGACGCCGAGGGCGCGCUCGUCGACGCCGUGCAGUGCUACGAGUUCCCCGCCCGCAUGGGGCCCCGCAGUCGUGCUGGCGCGGGCCUCCGACGGGGCCGUCGAUUGGAGCCGCCCCGACGCCCCCGCGGUGGAGGAGGUGGUCGGGCCUGACGGGGUCGACUUCGUGACCGGCGAUGGCGACCUGGCAUUCGGCUCCGGCGUUAGGGUCCGUGACAUGGUAGGGCCAUUCGAGCUGGUGGUCUGCGAUGGCGCUGGCAGGGGCCGCGCAGAGCUCCAGUUGCCGUCGGUGAGUGCUGUUUGACUUUUAUCUUUGUUGCUUUAGUUUUUUUGCUUCUGCUUGCUUGCUUGCUAUGCUCUUGAAGUUGUGUGGCCUGUAAGAUGAAGCAGUUACUACAAUUGGUGAAUGUUCUAGCUGCUACUUAUCCCUUUUCUGUUUCUGACUUCGAAUUGAUUACGUUUGUUGUAGUGUCUGCACCACCGCCCGUUGAUUAGAAUGCAUGUUCCGGCAGUCCACGCAUCGAUCACUGGCAAAUUAAAAAGGCAUGAACGCACUAAACAGAAAUUCUGUGUAGAUGAUUCUUGUAUAUGGCAGUGGCACACGCGCUGGUUGAUGAAGCCGCUGGGCCGGAAGGCCCUCUCAUUGCCAUGCUAAUGAGUAUCACGACGAACAUGGCCCCCACCUCAAUGCCUCCCUGUCGGCGGUGAGGUCUAGCCGGAUCUGUACAACCCGCAAUAUUAGUAAAGAAAAAGAAUAGCUUGAUUGUUCUAUGACUCUGUCGUGGAUAGGUAAUUUGCAUCAGAGGUCUAUAGGAUCUCCGCCAUUAGUUUCCCAUUAGAAAAUUGAGUUACUAAAUUAAGGAAGAUGUCCAAAGAGAGGUAAUCGUUGGCAUGAUAUGCAUCAGAAGAUCCUCAUCACUGAAGUAGUACUCCACCAGUCCACCUACAGUUUUGGAACAUAUAAAUACGGCAUCAAAGUGCUACCUGGCACCAAAUAAAGAGUUCAGGUCAGGGUGUUAUACUGCAGCUAAGUAGUAUAGUCUGAAUUUCUAACUUUGAGGAGGAUUUCAGUGUUUCUAAAGAAAGGGACAAGGAUCAGGGCUAUAAGGUUGUUGAAAGACUCAGAGACAUGUACCAUGAAUUGGGUAUAUUCCGCAAGCUGCGGCACACAUGGUCUGCCUCCGUGUCGUCCUACCUGCUUCAGGGCCCUCUACUUCUUCCCCCAAGAUUGCCAUUAUGAUUAACAAAUCUGACGAGAGCAAUUUAAUUGGUGACACAUCAUAUUUAUUCUGCAACUGCAUGUGAAUUCUCAUCUUGCGCCUACCUCUUUUGCUUACCAGUGAAGAUGGAGAGCUUUAGGCAAAAAAGAAAGAAAAAAAACUAGCACGUGAUCUAUGGAGAAUAAUUUUGACAGCAACUCCAACUAUGCAAUGGAGUACACUUGAUGCGAUCAAUUCUGGUGUGUGUGUGUGUGUGAUGCAAUGACGUAUGAAUAACGACAGAAAAAUAUGCCUGAGGAGUAUGGGUAUGGAGUAACAUUUCUCUGUUAUUUUCGGAACAACUUGGAAUAUCUUAUUGGUAGUUUAUAUACAAAGUCAUUUUGAUAAUUAUCAUGCUGCAAACCUACAUAGUUUUCUAUAUUAAUCAUGUCAUGCUAAAAUAUAAAAGUUAUAGCUUCAAUAAAUUGAUAAAAUACAGAUUUGGGCUUUACAUAUUUAUUGAAUAUAUAUUUACAUAUGAAUACGUCGUUACGGUCGGACUCCAGCGAGCAGCAGUGGUUGUUAUACCCCACCAGGUAACUUGCUACUGUUGGUGAAACUCUCUUGUGCAGAAACGCUGAUCUUGAAAUCUUGAUCCUACUUAUAGGCCGUAUUGCAAGCAAUGUACUCAUGUUUUACUGAACAUGUAGGUAACAUGAAAUUUUGAUCUUCUCCCAUCACUGAAAGUUGUGUUUUAAACUUGCAAAAGCAUUGCUAAGCCUAUUCAAUCAUUUCUAUUUUACCCUAGAUUUCACUCCAUACCAUAAUUGAGAUACAAAUGGGCGUUACUGAUGUCGAGGAGAAGAGUUAGAAGCUCUUGGAUUGAGAAUCUGAGAUUUAUAUAGGUUCAGUAGAACAAAAAGUUUCGGAUUCACUACUCCAGAUACAACGAUGCAGUAUAUAUAGUUAACUUCGUACUUUAUAUUACCAAUUUUUCUUCCUCCAAGAGUUCUUCGGAUAUAAUCUACACCUGAAACAAUAAAUUGUUAAAAGCAAGGAAAAGUAACAAGUUCUGCAAAUUAGUUUCAUGAGGAGAGAACUGGCUGAAAUGAAGCUAAUACCGAUGUACUAAAUAUCCUGCAGUGGUUAGUAUACUAAAGAGUAAAACUGCAUGUUUUUGUCAUAUCUGAAACCCUUUUCUGCUCCAUACUUUACGUAAACAAUGCCUGUGCAUUGGCAUAAGAAUCAUAGAUUGAAAAAUCAUCAUCCAUUGUCAUUCGUCACCCUGGCAAUGAUGCAUUUGCUAUUCAGAAGACUUCUUGUCCGGUUUAGUGUGUGAUUUGUUACUAUGAUAAGGAAACAUUUCCUCAACCCAUCUUUCACUACACACAUAGGUUGCACAGAGGAGUAUAAGGAUUUCUUUAUCGGGCCAGUCCACGUGGAAGAUGUCGCGUUAGCCCAUAUCACGUUGUUUGAAAACCCGGCUGCAUCCGGGAGGCACCUCUGUGUGGAGCCCAUAUGUCACUUGAGCGAUUUCGCGUCCCAAGUCGCGGAGCUCUACCCCGACUACGAAGUCCCGAAAUUACCUGAGGACACGCAGCCUGGGCUGGUGAGGGUGGAGGUGGUGCCGAAGAAGCUGAUGGAACUGGGCCUGCAUUUCACUCCUUUGGAAAAGAUCAUCAAGGAUGCGGUGGAGAGCCUUCGGAGAAGAGGAUGCAUCGCCUGAUGGCUGGAUUAUUAGCUGUACCAUAUUCCUUCCCUUCUGUUGUAGGGUCAUGAUCAACCCUUGCUCUAGAGAUAUGUUGUGCCCAGCCCAGUGCUAGACCUUAUAGUUGCAUGUACGAUUGUGCAAUAACGGCUGGUUGAUCUACUGGUACACCUGUCUGUUCUUGCUAGAUACUUGCGGCUCUUAAAUUGUUCAUUGCCAUUCUUCA